GUGGGGAAUAUUGGACAAUGGGCGCAAGCCUGAUCCAGCAAUGCCGCGUGGGUGAAGAAGGCCUUCGGGUUGUAAAGCCCUUUUGUCCGGGAAGAAAUCUUCCAGGUUAAUACCCUGGGAGGCUGACGGUACCGGAAGAAUAAGCACCGGCUAACUUCGUGCCAGCAGCCGCGGUAAUACGAAGGGUGCAAGCGUUACUCGGAAUUACUGGGCGUAAAGCGUGCGUAGGUGGUUCGUUAAGUCUGCCGUGAAAGCCCCGGGCUCAACCUGGGAAUGGCGGUGGAUACUGGCGGGCUAGAGUGCGGUAGAGGGUGGUGGAAUUCCCGGUGUAGCAGUGAAAUGCGUAGAGAUCGGGAGGAACAUCUGUGGCGAAGGCGGCCACCUGGACCAGCACUGACACUGAGGCACGAAAGCGUGGGGAGCAAACAGGAUUAGAAACCCGUGUAGUCC
rnacentral:rRNA from 1 species